rnacentral:rRNA from 1 species
CUGCAGCUNACGCAUUAAGCACUCCGCNUGGGGAGUACGACCGCCAAGGUUGAAACUCAAAGGNAUUGACGGGGACCCGCACAANCGNUGGAGCAUGUGGUNUAAUUCGAAGCAACGCGAAGAACCUUACCAAAUCAUGACAUCCUUNGACAACUUCUAGAGAUAGAGCCUUCCCCUUCGGGGGACUNNAGUGACAGGUGGUGCAUGGUGGUCGUCAGCUCGUGUCGUGAGAUGUUGGGUUAAGUCCCNCNACGAGCGCAACCCUUAAGCUUAGUUGCCAUCAUUAAGUUGGGCACUCUAAGUUGACUGCCGGUGACAAACCGGAGGAAGGUGGGGAUGACGUCAAAUCAUCAUGCCCCUUAUGAUUUGGGCUACACACGUGCUACAAUGGACAAUACAAAGGGCAGCGAAACCGUCGAGGUCAAGCAAAUCCCAUAAACGUUGUUCUCAGUUCGGANUUGUAGUCUGCAACUCGACUACAUGAAGNCUGGAAUCGCUAGUAACUCGUAGAUCAGCAUGC